rnacentral:rRNA from 1 species
AUUGAACGCUGGCGGCAGGCCUAAUACAUGCAAGUCGAGCGGAUGAAGGGAGCUUGCUCCUGGCUUCAGCGGCGGACGGGCGAGUAAUGCCUAGGAAUCUGCCUGGUAGAGGGGGAUAACGUCCGGAAACGGGCGCUAAUACCGCAUACGUCCUGAGGGAGAAAGUGGUGGAUCUUCGGACCUCACGCUAUCAGCUGAGCCUAGGUCGGAUUAGCUAGUUGGUGGGGUAAAGGCCUACCAAGGCGACGAUCCGUAACUGGUCUGAGAGGAUGAUCAGUCACACUGGAACUGAGACACGGUCCAGACUCCUACGGGAGGCAGCAGUGGGGAAUAUUGGACAAUGGGCGAAAGCCUGAUCCAGCCAUGCCGCGUGUGUGAAGAAGGUCUUCGGAUUGUAAAGCACUUUAAGUUGGGAGGAAGAGCAGUAAGUUAAUACCUUGAUGUUUUGACGUUACCAACAGAAUAAGCACCGGCUAACUUCGUG